AAUACAGGUUGCUCAGUUAAAUUUGAAUUUCAAACAACAAAGAAAUUUUGUUAUCAUAAGUCUAUCCCAUGCAACAUUUGGGAUAUACUUAUACUAAAAAUUUAUUUGUUUUUCAUCUGGAAUUGGGAUUUUAAUUGGGCAUCCUGUAUUUU
rnacentral:miRNA from 1 species